AAUCAACGCUGGCGGCGUGCCUCAGACAUGCAAGUCGAACGAUUAAACUUUCCUUCGGGGAAGAUGUAGAGUGGCGCACGGGUGAGUAACACGUAAGUAAUCUACCCUUGGGUGGGGAAUAACAUCGGGAAACCGAUGCUAAUACCGCAUAAUGCAGCGGCUUCUUAUGAAGACAGUUGUUAAAGCAUUUAUGUGCCUGAGGAGGAGCUUGCGGCAGAUUAGCAGUUGGUAAGGUAAUGGCUUACCAAGGCGACGAUCUGUAGCCGACCUGAGAGGGUGGUCGGUCACACUGACACUGAAUAACGGGUCAGACUCCUACGGGAGGCAGCAGUCGGGAAUUUUGGGCAAUGGGCGCAAGCCUGACCCAGCAACGCCGCGUGAAGGAUGAAGUAUUU
rnacentral:rRNA from 1 species